rnacentral:rRNA from 1 species
GACAGAGGGUGCAAGCGUUGUUCGGAAUCAUUGGGCGUAAAGCGCACGUAGGCGGUCUUGUAAGUCGGAUGUGAAAGCCCUGGGCUUAACCCAGGAAGUGCAUCCGAUACUGCAAGACUUGAGUCCCGGAGAGGGUGGUGGAAUUCCUGGUGUAGAGGUGAAAUUCGUAGAUAUCAGGAGGAACACCGGUGGCGAAGGCGACCACCUGGACGGAGACUGACGCUGAGGUGCGAAAGCGUGGGGAGCAAACAGG